GACGAACGCUGGCGGCGUGCUUAACACAUGCAAGUCGAACGGAAAGGCGCUGCUGUUGUGUGGUUCUCGAGUGGCGAACGGGUGAGUAACACGUGAGUAACCUGCCCUUGACUUUGGGAUAACUUCAGGAAACUGGGGCUAAUACCGGAUAGGAGCUCCUGCUGCAUGGUGGGGGGUGGAGAGUUUCGGCGGUUGGGGAUGGACUCGCGGGUUAUCAGCUUGUUGGUGGGGUAGUGGCUUACCAAGGCUUUGACGGGUAGCCGGCCUGAGAGGGUGACCGGGCACAUGGCGACUGCGAGACGGCGCAGACUCGUACGGGAGGCAGCAGUGGGGAGUAUUGCACAAUGGGCCGGAGCCUGAUGCAAAAACGCUGGGUGCGUGAAGACGGCCUUCGGGUUGAGAACCGCUUUCGCCUGAGACGAAGCGUGAGUGACGGUAACGGGUAAAGAAGCACCGGCUAACUACGUG
rnacentral:rRNA from 1 species